CCUUCGGGUUGAGUGGCGGACGGGUGAGUAACGCGUGAGAAUCUGCCUUGGGGUCGGGGACAACCACUGGAAACGGUGGCUAAUACCGGAUAAGCCUUUGGGUAAAAAAUUUAUUGCCCCAAGAGGAGCUCGCGUCUGAUUAGCUAGUUGGUGAGGUAAGAGCUCACCAAGGCAGCGAUCAGUAGCUGGUCUGAGAGGACGAUCAGCCACACUGGGACUGAGACACGGCCCAGACUCCUACGGGAGGCAGCAGUGGGGAAUUUUCCGCAAUGGGCGAAAGCCUGACGGAGCAAGACCGCGUGAGGGAGGAAGGCUCUUGGGUUGUAAACCUCUUUUCUCAGGGAAGAAGCUCUGACGGUACCUGAGGAAUCAGCCUCGGCUAACUCCGUGCCAGCAGCCGCGGUAAUACGGAGGAGGCAAGCGUUAUCCGGAAUUAUUGGGCGUAAAGCGUCCGCAGGUGGCGAUUCAAGUCUGCUGUCAAAGCACGGGGCUUAACUCCGUUAAGGCAGUGGAAACUGAAUAGCUAGAGUGCCGUAGGGGUAGAGGGAAUUCCCGGUGUAGCGGUGAAAUGCGUAGAGAUCGGGAAGAACAUCGGUGGCGAAAGCGCUCUACUGGACGGCAACUGACACUCAGGGACGAAAGCUAGGGGAGCGAAUGGGAUUAGAUACCCCAGUAGUCCUAGCUGUAAACGAUGGAUACUAGGUGUAGCUUGUAUCGACCCGAGCUGUGCCGAAGCUAACGCGUUAAGUAUCCCGCCUGGGGAGUACGCACGCAAGUGUGAAACUCAAAGGAAUUGACAGGGGCCGGAACAAACCGUGGAAUAUUUGGUUUAAUUCGAAGCCACCCGGAGGACCUUACCAGGGCUUGACAAGUCCGGAAUCCCGGUGAAAACUGGGAAUGCCUUCGGGAACCGGGACAAAGGUUGUGCAAGGCUGUUCUCAGCUUCUUUUCUGAGAAUCUGGGUUAAAUUCCGCCACGAGCGCAACCCUCGUCUUUAGUUGCCAGCAUUAAGUUGGGCACUCUAGAGAGACUGCCGGUGACAAACC
rnacentral:rRNA from 1 species